GUGUUUUUUGGGUUAGCAAGAAAACUGAAGGUGUGCAUUACUGCCACCUACUGGUAUGGAUGUUAGAUGAGACAUAGAUGAUCACCUGAUCACUUUGAGACAAUACAACUAACUUAAGUUGGUAAUUAAAACAUAAUACUAUGUCUCAUAGCCAGUAACAGUGACAUUUUCUCUUUUUUUUUGAGUGUGAGAAAGAUUCUGAGGCAAAUGAUUAUUCUUAAAAUUGCCAAUUAUAAGUAUCUAAUCUGCCUGGACUGAACCUGAACACGGCAGGUUUCUGUGGCGGCUCUGAGUGUCCAACCAGAAACUAACGUCUGUAUUUGGUGGAUGUGAURGGAAGAUGACGUCUGAGAGGCGUUGCAUUAAACUACUGGAAGGUGAUCUCUGCCAUAUAAACUCGACCUGCUCUAACUUGGCUCCGGACAACGCUUGGCCUUCCAUGACCUGCAGUUUGACACGUGUGCUAAAGAAAUCCUCCAUAACUGCAGCUGACGGCCGAGCUGUCAGUGACGGAGUGUCGGGACCAACCCAGAGCUGCGAUGGAUCUGUUCUGCCACAAUCCUCAAUCAGCUGCCAUUGAUUAAUUGGAUUAACCCAAAAUGAUCCUAAUGACUGAUCAAUUUCCAUUAGACGUCCUUAAAUACAUCUUAAUGAGAUUGGAGGAGAGUCAACAGUUGUGUGUUGAAACUCAUUUGCAACCCUGCGUCUAUCACGC